GGGUCCGUAGCUCAACUGGAUAGAGCAUCAGUCUUCGGAACUGAGGGUUGGGGGUUCAAGCCCCUCCGGGCCUG
rnacentral:tRNA from 1 species